ACCCAGGGGAGAGGAAAGGUAAGAUGUAAGCUGCUGGUCACCACCCUGAAACUGCAUCAAGCUUAGGAAUGAACAGGGAAAGCACAACCAAGAGAUGGUGACAUCUUUGAGAAACAGCUGGUGUCAGAGAACUCUACAAAUAUGGCAAAUCAUCACAUGGGACUUUAUCCAUGGAGGCGAGAAUCCUCUUGCAUUGGAAGCUGGUAUGCUGAUGAUGUCAUGGUGGCUCAACUUUCCUGGUGUCUAAGAGGAGUGUCAGAGAGCAACCCUAACAUGGAUGUGUUGGGUGACCGUAGAUUUUCAAAGGGGUCUGUGAAAUUUUAGAGUCAUCUUUUGACAGUUGGUAAAACUGAGACCUCAGUUGGAAAACGGACUUAUCCCAGUAUACACAAGGAGUGACAGAACUGGGUUCAGAUCCAAGAUCACCUGACCCCAGUCCCACUGCUCUUUGACUACAUCACACUGAGCUAACUCAUCCCUGCAACAUGCACCAAGAAUCUUCCAGGGUUAAAUUGCAGGGUAUAACAUGCACAGCUCAGAGUGUUUGGGAAUAGUUUGGAAAAUCAUCACGUGCCACGUAUAUCAUCGACUUUAACCUCAGACCUCUGUAUCUUGUCAUUUCUUUGAAGUUUGUAUCAUUGAUAGUUACCACUGAUCUGCCACUCUGUUCAUCUUCUGUGAAUGAAAACUUAUCCCACAGCAUUGCAUUUAGACCUGGUCCAGUCUGCCUUUACCUGGCCUCACCCCAGGCUUCCACAGAUGCUUAAGGUGUUUGGGCAUUUGUCCCUCACUGCUUUGGUUGCAAUAAUCAGUUCAAAAUAAAACUGACCACAGCUAACCUACACAAAAAAAUGGGUUAAUGAGUAAACAUUCACAGAGGAAUCAAACUGUCCCGAUAAAAUUCAGAUCAAUCAAAUUUGAAACAGGAAAAUUUGACCUAGUAGAAAUAAAACUACAAUGGAAAAUUCAUAAUGGCAGGAGCUAAAAUUUGACCCAAAUAAAUUACUGUCAAUAAAUUACAAGCUAUCAUUGUGAAAUUUCACAUGCAAAAGAAUUACUCUCCAUAAAAUGAUUUCAAUAAAAUAAAAAAGAAGAUGGAAAAAGGUAGAAAUUAUUUAACUGCUCUGUAUCGAACACUUAUCUUGGAGUGAAACUGAGUAAGCAUUAAUUAAGAAAAUACUUUCUUGAGAAAAAUGUGGCUAUUAUUGGUGUUUUUUAUGUUGUACUUACA